rnacentral:rRNA from 1 species
AGAGUUUGAUCAUGGCUCAGAUUGAACGCUGGCGGCAGGCCUAACACAUGCAAGUCGAGCGGUAGCACAGAGAGCUUGCUCUCGGGUGACGAGCGGCGGACGGGUGAGUAAUGUCUGGGAAACUGCCUGAUGGAGGGGGAUAACUACUGGAAACGGUAGCUAAUACCGCAUAACGUCGCAAGACCAAAGUGGGGGACCUUCGGGCCUCAUGCCAUCAGAUGUGCCCAGAUGGGAUUAGCUGGUAGGUGGGGUAACGGCUCACCUAGGCGACGAUCCCUAGCUGGUCUGAGAGGAUGACCAGCCACACUGGAACUGAGACACGGUCCAGACUCCUACGGGAGGCAGCAGUGGGGAAUAUUGCACAAUGGGCGCAAGCCUGAUGCAGCCAUGCCGCGUGUGUGAAGAAGGCCUUCGGGUUGUAAAGCACUUUCAGCGGGGAGGAAGGCGGUGAGGUUAAUAACCUCACCGAUUGACGUUACCCGCAGAAGAAGCACCGGCUAACUCCGUGCCAGCAGCCGCGGUAAUACGGAGGGUGCAAGCGUUAAUCGGAAUUACUGGGCGUAAAGCGCACGCAGGCGGUCUGUCAAGUCGGAUGUGAAAUCCCCGGGCUCAACCUGGGAACUGCAUUCGAAACUGGCAGGCUAGAGUCUUGUAGAGGGGGGUAGAAUUCCAGGUGUAGCGGUGAAAUGCGUAGAGAUCUGGAGGAAUACCGGUGGCGAAGGCGGCCCCCUGGACAAAGACUGACGCUCAGGUGCGAAAGCGUGGGGAGCAAACAGGAUUAGAUACCCUGGUAGUCCACGCUGUAAACGAUGUCGAUUUGGAGGUUGUGCCCUUGAGGCGUGGCUUCCGGAGCUAACGCGUUAAAUCGACCGCCUGGGGAGUACGGCCGCAAGGUUAAAACUCAAAUGAAUUGACGGGGGCCCGCACAAGCGGUGGAGCAUGUGGUUUAAUUCGAUGCAACGCGAAGAACCUUACCUGGUCUUGACAUCCACAGAACUUAGCAGAGAUGCUUUGGUGCCUUCGGGAACUGUGAGACAGGUGCUGCAUGGCUGUCGUCAGCUCGUGUUGUGAAAUGUUGGGUUAAGUCCCGCAACGAGCGCAACCCUUAUCCUUUGUUGCCAGCGGUUAGGCCGGGAACUCAAAGGAGACUGCCAGUGAUAAACUGGAGGAAGGUGGGGAUGACGUCAAGUCAUCAUGGCCCUUACGACCAGGGCUACACACGUGCUACAAUGGCAUAUACAAAGAGAAGCGACCUCGCGAGAGCAAGCGGACCUCAUAAAGUAUGUCGUAGUCCGGAUUGGAGUCUGCAACUCGACUCCAUGAAGUCGGAAUCGCUAGUAAUCGUAGAUCAGAAUGCUACGGUGAAUACGUUCCCGGGCCUUGUACACACCGCCCGUCACACCAUGGGAGUGGGUUGCAAAAAGAAGUAGGUAGCUUAACCUUCGGGAGGGCGCUUACCACUUUGUGAUUCAUGACUGGGGUGAAGUCGUAACAAGGUAACCGUAGGGGAACCUGCGGUUGGAUCACCU